GCUGGAGAGGUGCGGAGAUAUUACCCUACCUGUGGCUAUACUCAUUUCUCCAAUUCUCAAGGCACACGGAGAGUGGAGUGAUAAAUAUGCUCUGAAACACCUGAUUCCUCCCAUCAGCUAAUCAACCAGCUUUUCAUCAACUGAAUCUGAUGUAUCUAAAUAAGGAACAUAUGAAACUAUGCAGCUCUGCGCUCCCUGAAGACGAAACGGAGAAUAUUUCUUUGUAAAAGUAUCUUUUCCCUGAACUGCCACUAAAAAAUUCAUAGAUCUUAAAGUUCAUCGCUGACAAAGUUCUCAGCCUGAUGCCUGGCUGACCAGCAGAACACCCAGAGUCCCCUUUCAAUACUGUACACACAGUCAGAGUGGAUUAUUUACACCAGGCCCUGAGUUCACUCUCCUCAACCC